AGCCUUCUGAAUCCGUGCUGAGAUUUCGUCAGACACCAAUCGAUUAAGGCUGAUCAGACUCCUACGAUAAGUGAAGCU
rfam:Schistosoma mansoni, Puerto Rico, WGS project CABG01000000 data, contig: 0241